rnacentral:rRNA from 1 species
GUGGGGAAUAUUGGACAAUGGGCGAAAGCCUGAUCCAGCCAUGCCGCGUGUGUGAAGAAGGUCUUCGGAUUGUAAAGCACUUUAAGUUGGGAGGAAGGGCAGUAAGUUAAUACCUUGCUGUUUUGACGUUACCGACAGAAUAAGCACCGGCUAACUUCGUGCCAGCAGCCGCGGUAAUACGAAGGGUGCAAGCGUUAAUCGGAAUUACUGGGCGUAAAGCGCGCGUAGGUGGUUUUGUAAGUUGGAGGUGAAAUCCCCGGGCUCAACCUGGGAACAGCCUCCAAAACUGCAUUACUAGAUUACGGUAGAGGGUAGUGGAAUUUCCUGUGUAGCGGUGAAAUGCGUAGAUAUAGGAAGGAACACCAGUGGCGAAGGCGACUACCUUGACUGAUACUGAUACUGAGGUGCGAAAGCGUGGGGAGCAAACAGGAUUAGAUACCCGAGUAGUCC